UACGUAGGGGGCAAGCGUUAUCCGGAUUUACUGGGUGUAAAGGGGGCGCAGACGGCAAUGCAAGCCAGGAGUGAAAGCCCGGGGCCCAACCCCGGGACUGCUCUUGGAACUGCAUGGCUGGAGUACAGGAGGGGCAGGCGGAAUUCCUAGUGUAGCGGUGAAAUGCGUAGAUAUUAGGAGGAACACUGGUGGCGAAGGCGGCCUGCUGGACUGUGACUGACGUUGAGGCCCGAAGGCGUGGGGAGCAAACAGG
rnacentral:rRNA from 1 species